AGAGUUUGAUCCUGGCUCAGGAUAAACGUUGGCGGUGCGCCUUAUGCAUGCAAGUCGUACGAGGUUACAGUUUUCGGAUUGUAACCGAGUGGCGAACGGCUGAGUAACACGUAAGCAACCUACCUAUAAGUGGGGGAUAACUUGUCGAAAGGCAAGCUAAUACCGCAUGUGGCAACCAAGUUUUGCUUGGUUAUUAAAGCUUCACAGCGCUUGUAGAGGGGCUUGCGCCUGAUUAGCUAGUUGGCAGGGUAAUAGCCUACCAAGGCGAUGAUCAGUAGCUGGUCUGAGAGGAUGGUCAGCCAGAUGGGGACUGAGACACGGCCCCAACUCCUACGGGAGGCAGCAGCAAGGGAUAUUGGGCAAUGGGUGAAACCCUGACGCAGCAACGCCGCGUGGGCGAUGAAGGUCUUCGGAUCGUAAAGCCCUUUUCUGGGGGAUGAGGAAGGACAGUACCCCAGGAAUAAGUCUCGGCUAACUACGUGCCAGCAGCCGCGGUAAAACGUAGGAGGCAAGCGUUAUCCGGAUUUACUGGGCAUAAAGGGCGUCUAGGCGGUGUCUUAAGUUGGGCGUGAAAUCUCCCGGCUCAACCGGGAGGGGCCGUCCAAUACUGGGACACUUGAGGGCAGGAGAGGUAAGUGGAAUUCCCGGUGUAGCGGUGGAAUACUUAGAUAUCGGGAGGAACACCAGUGGCGAAGGCGGCUUUCUGGCCUGCACCUGACGCUGAAGCGCGAAAGCGUGGGUAGCGAACGGGAUUAGAUACCCCGGUAGUCCACGCCGUAAACGUUGGAUACUAGGUGUUGGUGGUUAUUGACCCCAUCAGUGCCGCAGCUAACGCAUUAAGUAUCCCGCCUGGGGACUACGGCCGCAAGGCUAAAACUCAAAUGAAUUGACGG
rnacentral:rRNA from 1 species